rnacentral:rRNA from 1 species
AUACGUAGGGGUCGAGCGUUGUCCGAAAUUACUGGGCGUAAAGGGUGCGUAGGCGGCCGAUCAAGUCAGAUGUGAAAUACCACGGCUCAACUGUGGGGGUGCAUAUGAAACUGGUUGGCUUGAGUGCAGGAGAGGAAAGUGGAAUUCCUAGUGUAGCGGUGAAAUGCGUAGAGAUUAGGAGGAACACCAGUGGCGAAGGCGACUUUCUGGACUGUAACUGACGCUGAGGCACGAAAGCGUGGGGAGCGAACAGGAUUAGAUACCCUGGUAGUCCACGCCGUAAACGAUGGAUACUAGGUGUAGAGGGUAUCGACCCCCUCUGUGCCGGAGUUAACGCAAUAAGUAUCCCGCCUGGGGAGUACGGCCGCAAGGUUGAA